GCAGGGCGUGGUGGCACAUGCCUGUAGUCCCAGUUACCAGGGAGGUUGAAGCUGGAGGAUCGCUUGAGUCCAGGAGUUCUGGGCUAAAGUGUGCUAGCUGAUCGGGUGUCCGCACUAAGUUUGGCAUCAAUAUGCUGACCUUCUGGAAGCGGGGCACCACCAGGUUGCCUAAGGAGGGGUGAACUGGCCCAGGUCAGAAAUAGAGCAGGUCAAAACUCCCGUGCUGAUCAGUAAUAACUGAGGGCCUAGCUGUGGCUAGAAGACUAUCAGACUGUAUCAAAAUUGGAUCUGUUUCU
rnacentral:SRP_RNA from 1 species